ACGUUCUCGGGAAGCCAAACGACGAUCAGCCGGUUGCUUGAGCAUGGAUUCUGAGCAAGGGAAGCAAGUCACCUCACGCAUCCUGCAGGGACGUACCUGCUGCUACUCGUUUGUGGACCACGGCUCCCCUGAACGAGGCUACAGAUUCUCCGCCAGGAGCUGCUUCUCCACGCCUGCGUGAUUGGCACAUCCAGCAGACAGACCUUCAGCCUUGCAUCAGCUGAGCCUGCCUGGGCUCCAUCUGCCAGUGGGGAGACACCUGAGCGUUGCUCCCAUCUCCUGCCUACACAUAAAAUAAACCCACUGCAAAGCUAUCAGUCUACCAUCAUGAGCAAUUAUGUGGAAACUAGUCUGUCGAUGGCGAAGUCACGUGGUCACAGUAUCCGAGUUCCUGUUGUGUGCAGAACUGCACUGGAUGUAAUAAAGGUAUUAAAACUAAAUACCGAGACGGGGUCUCUGUUCUCAAAAUGUUUGGGUGACAAGAUGAUGUGUGGAAAGCAUCUGUUAUGUAACAUGGGAGGUUUCUGUAUUGCACAAAAUGAGUGUAAAGUGUUGGGGUAUUGUCGAGAAUGAAUGAUUUUGUUGGGUUAAUGAUGAAAAUGACACCAUUUCCAGUCAUUAUUGAAUCUUACUAACAUCCGUGACUGGUAAAAUCAUUUAGCUUUCAAGUUUGAUUCUAAAAUAUAAGUCUUAGAUGUUCACUGUGAUACUUCUCGUAAAAUACUAAUAACUUUUAUCAAUCACAGUAACUUUUUUUUUUUACUUUUACAGCUAUGCUAAGUCAUCCUGAACCUAUCCUGAAGUCUGGUAGAAUGGUCAGGGAAAGAGAAACACCCCCAUUUUUAGUAUUAGAUUCUUUUUAGCUGUAUUUUAAAACUGAAGCACAGUGACCUAUUGGUUUAUUGCAGCUUUCCACUGGUCCCAUCAAUAGUCUUGUUAAGAAAGUUCAUCUUAUAUUACAUUUAUGUUUAAGCUAUGCAUUGUUUGAGAUUUUUGAGCAUAAAUUUGAAGUGUUUCUUUACUGUUGAGCCGCAUCCUAUAAAGAAUCGGGAGGCUGCAUGGUAUCCCAAGGUGCUUUGUCUUUUUUUUUUUUUUUUUUGCGGUACGUGGGCCUCUAACUGUUGUGGCCUCUCCCGUUGCGGAGCACAGGCUCCGGACGCGCAGGCUCAGCGGCCAUGGCUCACGGGCCCAGCCCCUCCGUGGCAUGUGGGAUCUUCCUGGACCAGGGCACGAACCCGUGUCCCCUGCAUCGGCAGGCAGACUCUCAACCACUGUGCCACCAGGGAAGCCCGGUGCUUUAUCUUUUGAAGAAAGUAUCAUAAAGGAAUGUGUUUAAAGUUCCUAGUUGAACAUUUGCAGGAAAGUUUCUGAAUUUCCAUCUAAGAAUCCUCACAAGAUAGGGGUUAACUUUUCCAUUGUAGGGAACAGAGUCUCACUCAGAUCACUGCAGGGUAACUGGAGCUUUAUCUUGAGGAUUCAUGUUCACGAUAAUGAGACAAACCCCAUGAAGGCUGCAGAAGCAGAACCUGGGGGUCUGAGCACUCUGAGAUGUAGCUUCUUACUGCGUCUGCUUCUUCCCACACUUCUCCUCUUCCUUUCUCUUCUCUACCUUGGAGUGUCUGCUUAGAAAGGCAGUAAAGUUUUUAAAGUGUUGUCUUUAUGGCUAGAUCGACUGUGUUAAGGUCUUUGGUCAUGUAUUAGCGCGUCACCUCAUCUUCUGCGUGGCUCCCUAACCUAUAACAUGUCUGCCUCGUGAAGGUAAAAUAAUGUCCUGACACACGGUUCAGUCCCAGUGUCCUUGUUCGUGUCCUCGUCAUCUGUUUUGUAUAAACUGCUCGUGGGUAUCGUGGGUACACGUGUACCUCAUGGCGUGCUUAUUUGAGCUCCAGGUACCAACUGUGCCCCUCGCUCAAGGUUUCCUAUUCAGAUUCCCAAGGGAGGACUUGGACCAGCUCGUCAGGGCUGCGUCCUGAGUCACACAUGUCUCUGCAUUGGCUGGUGCUCCCCUUGCAGAAGGCAGUCUGCUCCGGAGCUGCGUCAGAGAGAUCAUCGUGCAGAGUGUCACGUGCUCUCCACCGUCACCGAUCACACCUGCUUCUCACCCUUCUUCAUCCUCUGAUAGCAAGCAUGACUGGCCAGUGAAGAGGGACGGCUCCUAGGCCAUGUGAACAGAAAGCUGUUCACAACUCUGCUUAGAGAAGGAGCUCUCUGACCUUUAGAAGAGGCUGGAGAAUCUUCCAGGGGAGAGAAGUUUGAGAAGCUCCAGCUAGAGGAACAUUUAAGUUUUCCAGCCCCUACCAAGUAGACUAACGACAACAGCUUUCGGGGAAACAUCCAAGAUUUCUGGAUCCUUCCAUGGAUCUUUAAGGUACAUAUGGGGAGAAGUGAGUGUUUGACCAGAGAUCACAGGACAUGGAAUCAAAGAAACUAAGGGUUGAGUCCUGACCCUCUCCACACUGUUUCAGCUUCCUGCCCACCCCUGG